GUCAAAAACAAAUUUGUUUGGUUUUGUUUUCAAAAUUGUUGUGAAGUCCUAUUUUCUAUUUGGUUCUAUUUUUUAGUCAUGAAGUAGUAUCGUGGGAUAUUUGAAGUUCUUGGGUACUGAAAAUUCAAGAAGUUUUAGAAGGAAAACAAGUUUUAAACUCUUGUCGUCUUAUUUUGGCUGGAAAAAUAGAGGAAAGUUCUGAGCAUACCAUCAAAAUCUGUGGUUUAUUCUUUCAGUAAGGUCCAAUCCCCACGAAAUUAAAGGAACCCCAUCUUUCACAAAUGGCAUGAGCAUUAGCUAAAUGUUAUGUUCUUGUAAAGCAGAAAAUAGUGGAAAAUGUAAACAUGUCUCUACUCUUGUUAAAUGUAAGUAUAAGGGAAGAUGUGAAAUUAAUGGAACAUUCAGUACAUGAGUUGAAAAAAAUGUUAACAGAUUGGCAAAUGAAGACCAUUUUUAAUUGAUCUAAACAUUUAUAGAAACAAAGUAUAUAGUU
rnacentral:lncRNA from 1 species